GAUGAACGCUGGCGGCGUGCUUAACACAUGCAAGUCGAGCGAUGAAGUUUCCUUCGGGAAACGGAUUAGCGGCGGACGGGUGAGUAACACGUGGGUAACCUGCCUCAUAGAGUGGAAUAGCCUUCCGAAAGGAAGAUUAAUACCGCAUAACGUUGGAAGAUGGCAUCAUCAUUCAACCAAAGGAGUAAUCCGCUAUGAGAUGGACCCGCGGCGCAUUAGCUAGUUGGUGGGGUAACGGCCUACCAAGGCGACGAUGCCGUAGCCGACCUGAGAGGGUGAUCGGCCACAUUGGGACUGAGACACGGCCCAGACUCCUACGGGAGGCAGCAGUGGGGAAUAUUGCACAAUGGGGGAAACCCUGAUGCAGCAACGCCGCGUGAGUGAUGAAGGUUUUCGGAUCGUAAAGCUCUGUCUUUGGGGAAGAUAAUGACGGUACCCAAGGAGGAAGCCACGGCUAACUACGUG
rnacentral:rRNA from 1 species